rnacentral:rRNA from 1 species
AACGAACGCUGGCGGCAUGCCUAACGCAUGCAAGUCGAACGAGACCUUCGGGUCUAGUGGCGCACGGGUGCGUAACGCGUGGGAACCUGCCCUUAGGUUCGGAAUAACUCCCCGAAAGGGGUGCUAAUACCGGAUAAUGUCUUCGGACCAAAGAUUUAUCGCCUUUGGAUGGGCCCGCGUUGGAUUAGCUAGUUGGUAGGGUAAAAGCCUACCAAGGCGACGAUCCAUAGCUGGUCUGAGAGGAUGAUCAGCCACACUGGGACUGAGACACGGCCCAGACUUCCUCCGGAGGGAGGCGGUGGGAAUAUUGGACAAUGGGCGAAAGCCUGAUCCAGCAAUGCCGCGUGAGUGAUGAAGGCCUUAGGGUUGUAAAGCUCUUUUACCCGGGAUGAUAAUGACAGUACCGGGAGAAUAAGCUCCGGCUAACUCCGUG